rnacentral:rRNA from 1 species
GACGAACGCUGGCGGCGUGCCUAAUACAUGCAAGUAGAACGCUGAAGAGAGGAGCUUACUCUUCUUGGAUGAGUUGCGAACGGGUGAGUAACGCGUAGGUAACCUGCCUUGUAGCGGGGGAUAACUAUUGGAAACGAUAGCUAAUACCGCAUAACAAUGGAUGACACAUGUCAUUUAUUUGAAAGGGGCAAUUGCUCCACUACAAGAUGGACCUGCGUUGUAUUAGCUAGUAGGUGAGGUAAUGGCUCACCUAGGCGACGAUACAUAGCCGACCUGAGAGGGUGAUCGGCCACACUGGGACUGAGACACGGCCCAGACUCCUACGGGAGGCAGCAGUAGGGAAACUUCGGCAAUGGGGGCAACCCUUACCGAGCAACGCCGCGUGAGUGAAGAAGGUUUUCGGAUCGUAAAGCUCUGUUGUAAGUCAAGAACGGGUGUGAGAGUGGAAAGUUCACACUGUGACGGUAGCUUACCAGAAAGGAACGGCUAACUACGUA